rnacentral:rRNA from 1 species
CCCUUAGAUGUCCUGGGCCGCACGCGCGCUACACUGACGGAGCCAGCGAGCUUACCCCUUUGCCGAAAGGCAUGGGAAAUCUUUUGAAUCUCCGUCGUGCUGGGGAUAGAUUAUUGCAAUUGUUAAUCUUGAACGAGGAAUUCCUAGUAAACGCGAGUCAUCAGCUCGCAUUGAUUACGUCCCUGCCCUUUGUACACACCGCCCGUCGCACCUACCGAUUGAAUGGUUCGGUGAAGAUCUCGGACUUCGAUAUUUAUUCUUUAUUGAGUUUAUAUUGUGGGAAGUUAUCUAAACCUCAUCAUUUAGAGGAAGGUGAAGUCGUAACA